UACGUAGGGUGCAAGCGUUAAUCGGAAUUACUGGGCGUAAAGCGUGCGCAGGCGGUGAUGUAAGACAGAUGUGAAAUCCCCGGGCUCAACCUGGGAACUGCAUUUGUGACUGCAUCGCUGGAGUACGGCAGAGGGGGGAUGGAAUUCCGCGUGUAGCAGUGAAAUGCGUAGAUAUGCGGAGGAACACCGAUGGCGAAGGCAGCCCCUUGGACCUGUACUGACGCUCAUGCACGAAAGCGUGGGGAGCAAACAGG
rnacentral:rRNA from 1 species